rnacentral:tRNA from 1 species
AUUAUUUUGGCAGAAUAUGCAUUAGAUUUAGAAUCUAAUAAUAUAGGGAAACUUAUAAAUAAUA